GGAUCUGCGAAUGUCACUCCAAUGACUGCCAUCUGCGCCUGUUGCUUCCCCGUGUGUGCUACCCGUUCAUAGGUUGUUGACCUCACUACACAUUUAUUCAGAACUGCUUAAAACCUGACAAACACCAGCUGCUUAAACAAGGAGAUCUACGCUUCACUAGGGAGUACACUGGAACCCUUGUGACUUUAACAGAGCAUCUAAAACAUUGCUGGUAAUUAUUCAAUAACACCACACUUUCUUCUCCGUUUUAAUAUUCAUUGAACUUGCCAUUCAUCCAUGCUUUGAUAAAUUAUCCUCUAAGAUAUAGCAAGUUAAUACAUAUCGGUAUAUUAACACUCCUCAAACAAACC